rnacentral:rRNA from 1 species
UACGUAGGGUGCGAGCGUUGUCCGGAAUUACUGGGCGUAAAGCGCACGUAGGCGGCUCUUUAAGUCGGGGGUGAAAUCCUGGAGCUCAACUCCAGAACUGCCUUCGAUACUGGAGAGCUCGAGUCCGGGAGAGGUGAGUGGAACUGCGAGUGUAGAGGUGAAAUUCGUAGAUAUUCGCGAGAACACCAGUGGCGAAGGCGGCUCACUGGCCCGGUACUGACGCUGAGGUGCGAAAGCGUGGGGAGCAAACAGG